CUGCAUUUCACACAGGUCAAUAUCAUCACUUGAAGGAACAAGCCAGAUGGACCAACUCUUCAUCUUUCUUUUCAUCUGGAAAGCUUAUGCAACUGAUAGAUCACCAACCCCAUCAGUCAAUCAGAACCAAGACAGUGACGUGGUAAACUAUGCAGCUGUGAGUUUCACCACCAAGAAAAGCCCCUCCUCCAGAAGAGAGAGUGCCCAGACCAGCAGAGAGGAUGCAGAGUACUCUGAGGUCAGGUACCUUCAGCAGGAGUGAGAUAUGGGAAGAACCUCACCACAUUGAACGGAAACCACAUCCAUUUACAAUAGAGAUAACUUUGAAGGCAUUGUGAUGACUGGUAAAACAACUGCUUUUAGUAUGUAAAUAAUAGCUAAAUAAAAUAGGAAAUAGCUCUACUUGUAACCUGGAGAAGAAACAUGUAUUAGAAUAUUCGAUGAGUAGGCUUUCAUUGUUUCUCCAAUGUCUUAAAUAUGCAAAUUACCUCUUAACUGAAUAAAUGUUGGUGAUCAAAAA